GACGAAGGAUGCAAGCGUUAUCCGGAUUCAUUGGGUUUAAAGGGAGCGUAGGUGGCCUUAUAAGUCAGUGGUGAAAUCUUCGAGCUUAACUCGGAAAUUGCCAUUGAUACUGUAGGGCUUGAGUAUAGUUGCCGUUGGCGGAAUAUGACAUGUAGUGGUGAAAUACAUAGAGAUGUCAUAGAACACCGAUUGCGAAGGCAGCUGACGAAGCUAUAACUGACACUGAGGCUCGAAAGUGCGGGGAUCAAACAGG
rnacentral:rRNA from 1 species